rnacentral:rRNA from 1 species
UACAGAGGUCUCAAGCGUUGUUCGGAUUCAUUGGGCGUAAAGGGUGCGUAGGUGGCGCCGUAAGUCGGGUGUGAAAUUUCGGAGCUUAACUCUGAAACUGCAUUCGAUACUGCGGUGCUUGAGGACUGGAGAGGAGACUGGAAUUCAUGGUGUAGCAGUGAAAUGCGUAGAGAUCAUGAGGAAGACCAGUGGCGAAGGCGGGUCUCUGGACAGUUCCUGACACUGAGGCACGAAGGCCAGGGGAGCAAACGGG